UACAGAGGUCUCGAGCGUUAAUCGGAGUCACUGGGCUUAAAGGGUGCGUAGGCGGACUCGCAAGUGCUUUGUGAAAUCCCACGGCUCAACCGUGGAAUUGCUUGGCAGACUGCGGGUCUUGAGGUUGGUAGGGGCCGCCGGAACUCUAGGUGGAGCGGUGAAAUGCGUAGAUAUCUAGAGGAACGCCAAAGGUGAAGACAGGCGGCUGGGCCAAUUCUGACGCUGAGGCACGAAAGCGUGGGGAGCGAACGGG
rnacentral:rRNA from 1 species